CUGGGCUCUGUGGAUGCUGAGGCAGCUCUGGGCUGUGCCAGGGCUCUGCUGGGCUCAGUCCUGGGCACAGGGCUCUGCCCUCACAGGGCUCUGACAGCUUUGUAUCUGAUGAGCCCGUUCUGAGCACACCGCCUGAGCUUUCUGCUUUUGCAGAAGUGCCAAGAGUGGGCAAAACCUGGCAAGAGGGCGUGUUCCUAAGGCAGUGCAGCCUGGAGCUGAUGGAUGGAGAAUUGCCCUUCUGCACUUCCAAACCAGGGCAAAAAGCUAAAACAUGGCAUAAAAAAGAGUGUCCUUGGCUCCUGGUUCCCGUGUGGAGCAGCUCCUUCCCACUGGCUGAGCUGCUCAGGCAGAGCCCAGCAGCUCCUGGCCCUGCAGGGCUGAGGCUUUUCCCUGGUGCUGGGCACAGACUGAUGGAGCAGCACUGCUGAGCACAGGGACACACAGAGGGACCAGGAGCAGCUGCCUUUGUCCAUCUGCUGCUCCAAGGGCCAAACUCUGAGCAGACAGGGCUGGAGGAGACUCGCAGGCUCCCUGUUUGCUGUGCUGCCCCACUUGUGCCCGGCCCAGCUCUGUGUGGGGCAGAGGGAGAACAAGGGGCAGCUCCCUCCCAGCCCUCAGCCCAGGGACCCCUCUGGCCCCGGGGCUUGGGGCACUGUCAGCACCCACUGCUCCAGCCACCGCUUCUGCUGGCACUGACAGCAAUACCCAAACUGUGGCUGAUCCCAAGGGAGCAGCAGCAGUGCCUGGAUCUGAUCCCUGAUUCUGGGCAGGGCUGGACAAAUGACCCCCGCAGCAGCAGCAGCAGCAG